rfam:Eutrema salsugineum unplaced genomic scaffold scaffold_12, whole genome shotgun sequence.
CCCGGCCUAUGACGAUUCAAAAAAUUGCCUACAUUGUCUGAGUAAACCAAUGAUAAAACUUUUACAAUAAUGUAUUCUGAGGCCUAG